rnacentral:rRNA from 1 species
AUGGGUUCAAGUCCUGGAAACAGCCUCUUACAGAAAUGUAGGGAAAGGCUGCGUACUAUAGACCCAAAGUGGUCGGACCCUUCCCUGGACCCUGCGCAAGCGGGAGCUACAUGCACCAGGUUGCCCUUUAUGAGAAAGACCAUCCCUGUGGAGGAGAUCCCGACUAUCGAUGUGAAGCCGGGGUGGAAGAAGGGCACGAAGAAGAUCUUCCUACAGGGAAGGAUCCGAUUUUUCCAUUGCAGUUAUGUGUUUCAAAAGGCUAUUCAGAUGUAA